GCUGCUGGAAGCAGAAGCAGAAGCCGAAAUAUCAGCCAGCAGCAAGAACCGCGAGGAGAUGGCCACGGCGACGGCGACGGCGCAGGCGCAGGCGCAGCCAGCAAUGGACGCGCGCGAGUGGGACGAGGCGGCGUACCGGCGGGGCAUCCUGCGGGAGCGCGACCUCUCCUGCCGCACCCUCUUCCGCGCCGUCUUCUUCGACCAGCGCGACGACCCCGACCCCGACGUCCUCCUCGCCGCCGCCUCCAGCGACGGCUCCCUCGCGUCCUUCUCCCUUUCCUCCUGCAUCUCAUCCUCCGCCCCCACCCACGCCGCUCCUCAGGUGAAUACUUCUUCUUCUAUAUGCCCAGUUUUGUCUGUUGGUGCCAUGGGGUUGGCGACGAAGGGAACUCUCAAAAUGGGAAACUUGCAACGUGAUUCAUUUGUUGCGACAGCUGCGGGGAUGAUGGCCGCAUUCGGGGCUGGAGAUGGCACGAGAUGCAGAGCUGCCUUGUGCCGCUCUCUCUGCAAGGGGAUCAUCUGGAACCAGUACUUGACUUGGUUAACCCUCAGCAUGAAGGUCCUUGGGGUGCCCGCUCUCCAAUACCGGAAAAUAAUGCCAUUGCAAUUAGCAAACAGGAUGGAUCUGUUUUUGCAGCAGCUGGUGAUGCAUGUGCUUAUUGCUGGGAUGUGGUAUGUAUUCUCUGAGGAGAGUGGCAAGUGUAAAAUGACAUUUAAGGGGCAUACUGACUAUUUGCACAGCAUCGCAGUUCGUGAGGCAAACCACCAGCUAUAUUGGAUAGACUUGUGCUCUUUUCAGGUGGUAACAGGAUCAGAAGAUGGGACAGCCCGUAUCUGGGAUUGCAGAAGUGGGAAGUGUACACAGACGAUACAUCCAGUACAGAACAAGAAAUUUGAGGGCUCGUGGGUUGGUUGCAUUGCCAUUGAUGCGAGUGAAAGUUGGCUGGCCUGUGGUACUUCUAGUGGUAUAUCAGUUUGGAGUCUUCUUUCAAAUGAGUGCAUCUUUAACGCAGAUUGUAGUGCUCCUGUUCAAGAUCUGUUGUUUGAUAAAAAUCAAGCUAAUUGUGCUCCCGUUGUUCCCCUUUUCAUCUACGUCCAUUCAGAUUUUAGCAGUCGGCGCUGAACCUGCACUCUCCCGUUUUACAAUCAACGGGGCUGUUCUUUCGCAAAUAAAGUGUGCUCCUCCAUCAGCAUUUUCUGUAUCCAUGCAUUCAUCCGGGAUGGCAGCUGUUGCCGGACAUGGAGGUCUGGUGGAUGUCAUCUCGGCAUUUGGGAGCCAUCUGUGCGCAUUCCGUUGCCGGGGCCUGGAUAAGUAAUUGAUUAUCCAAGUGCUGAUGAAGCAUUGCUGUGCAAUUUCCAUGUGUUAAUCAUUACUUUCGCAAUGUGGCAACUGUAUUUUUCCAUUGUAACUGUAGUUUCAGUUGGUUUAUUGUAACUCUAGUUUUAGUUCAAUCUGUAUCAUGGAAGACUCCCCUGACAAGUAAGGACACAAAGCGGGCGAUCUAUGAAGCCUCAAAUCAAUUUAGUGCAAAUUUUCAGUCAAGCUUUAUACAAAGUUUGCUUUAGAUA